AGCUCCAAUAGCGUAUACUAAAGUUGUUGCAGUUAAAAAGCUCGUAGUUGAAUUUCUGGACUCGUCGUGUGGUCAUGCCCAAGGGUUUUGCACGAUACGACGGGUCCAUCCUCGAGAUGAACGGGAUACAUUUCGGUGUGUUUCCGCGAACUCGUCAUUUACUGUGAGCAAAACAGAGUGUUCAAAGCAGGCUUACGCCGUUGAAUACAUUAGCAUGGAAUAAUAAGAUAAGACCUUGGUCUAUUUUGUUGGUUUGUACUCCAAGGUAAUGAUUAAUAGGGACAGUUGGGGGUAUUCGUAUUCAAUUGUCAGAGGUGAAAUUCUUGGAUUUAUGGAAGACGAACUACUGCGAAAGCAUUUACCAAGGAUGUUUUCA
rnacentral:rRNA from 1 species